UACGGGGGGGGUAAGCGUUGUUCGGAAUUACUGGGCGUAAAGGGCGCGUAGGUGGCCUUUUGAGUCAGACGUGAAAUCCCCCGGCUUAACCUGGGAACUGCGUCUGAUACUGGAAGGCUUGAGUUCGGGAGAGGGAUGUGGAAUUCCAGGUGUAGCGGUGAAAUGCGUAGAUAUCUGGAGGAACACCGGUGGCGAAGGCGGCAUCCUGGACCGAAACUGACACUGAGGCGCGAAAGCCAGGGGAGCAAACGGG
rnacentral:rRNA from 1 species